rfam:Candidatus Levybacteria bacterium RIFCSPLOWO2_01_FTLL_39_24 rifcsplowo2_01_scaffold_958, whole genome shotgun sequence.
GGAGAGGUCGCUUAGUGGACUAGAGCGGAUGUCUUGAAAACAUCUAAGAAUGAAAGUUCUUCGCGAGUUCGAAUCUCGCCCUCUCCG